rfam:Nematostella vectensis strain CH2 x CH6 NEMVEscaffold_8_Cont1732, whole genome shotgun sequence.
CAGUGAAAGAAUGAUGAUCAAAUCUUUUUUCCCCAGCUUAUCGACCAUGGUGAUACUAUGCUGAACUUAUCAAGCCAAUUUGUCUGACUUUCACUG